CGUGAGCCCAGAUCAGGCCACUACACUCCAGCCGGGGCAACAGAGCGCAACUCCGUCUCAAAACAAACAAACAAAACAAAACAAAAAAAACUUAUAGACAAGUACAAAAUGAGAAGAAAAAGUCCCUUUCCCUUCAUGCCUCUACUUCCUGCUGUAUUCUCAAAGGACCUUCUCCUGGCAGCUGCCUAUGUUUUGGAUGCCCAGUACAACAGAAAUGUUCCAUUUGAAACUCACCUCAGGCCAUCAGACGUUACUAUUUUUAUAACCACUAGACAACGCAGGUUGCCGCAUACUUCUUUAUUUGUGUAGACCUCGCUCUUGCCCUGUUUGAAGAGCCUGAGUUGCUUCCCCUGCCUUUCUUGGCCACCUCAAUAGCAGAAGUACUCUGCCUGACUGCAUACUUUGGCAGACUGGUACAUUUUGCAAAAGUCACUCCUCAAAUGGUUUUCUGGAAGGAUACAAAAGACAUCUGCACCAUGGUAACCACAGUGGCGAGUGUUCAUUGUAGUACCUGUAAGAGUUUAUGACCGAAGGCAGGAGCCAUGAAGAAAAAAGACUCAAUAGAUUUGCUUUUGAUGAAACAACAACACUUCCAUACAGUGAACGCCAUAAGCACAACUGCAAGCAAACCGCAAACUGAAGAACAAAUAGGGCAAAAUGUGGCAGUGCAGACAUUUCAGCAUAUCAAGAGCACUUCCAAAUUACAGGAAAAAAAAGAUAUCUCAAUAGAUAAUUUUGCUGAAGAUAAGUGAAGGCAACUCAUAAGGAAAAAAUAUGUAAAAUGGCCGAUAGGAAA
rnacentral:lncRNA from 10 species